CACCAAGCAAGGGUCCCUUCCUGCAGCCACCCUUACCACUCAAGGUCAUCUGCCUGGUGCCCCUUUAGAUGCUAGCCAGUUCUGAAGAGAACACUGAAUGACAACUCACUUCGAGUCAGCUGACUGUUGUGUCAUAGCUGCUGCUUUCUGCAUUGCUGCAAAUGCCAGCCCCAGCUCCUGCCGCUUUCUAGUCGCAAUGCAGCAAAGCUGACGCGUACAACUAGGCACAAAGCAACAGAGUUCUAAAGUUUUCUUUUUCUGCUACUACUUAGCAUUGCUCACAGGAGGAGUAUUUACCUUUGUUUAGCCAGGAGCCGAGAUGCAGUCUGAUUGUACACGAUGGCUUCUAGCGUGCAUAUUCAGCUGACCAGGUACUGCUCGGAGCCUGGUCACCAAACUGCCUCUGACGGGGCACGGCUGGUCGCCCACCACGCGUGUGUACAGUUUGGGGGCUUCGUACGCCACGCUGCUCUACCUGCAGGAGUAAAGGCUAGGACAAAGGAGAGGAUGCUUGCCAUGGUUUGUCUGGCUGGGGCCUGGGCGACUCACCGCAUUGACGCUGUGGGAUUCCCCAGCUCCCACUUAAGGCUGGUCACGGGGGCUGGCGCAGAUCCCCACUCCUCAGUUAGAACACGGUUUAAAGGAGAAACCAGACUCACUGACCUAAAUCAAUCCCAGUCCUCUCUGGAUGCGGGACAGCUGUCGACUAGCAGUGACACAAUCAGCCAUGGAGUGGAGAAUCCUUGCGACUGCAGUCUGGGUGCAGGUGGAGCCUGGGAGAAUGACAGUCUAAUUUUGGUCAUCUGAUGGCUGCUUCUUAUUUUCCUAAAUAAUCAAGCUCGCUAAGUACACAGUGGUCUGGAUUAGUCUUCCUUCCAUGCAGUCCUCAUCAACUCUGGCUGGAAAUCAGGGUGCCAGGCAAGCCUGCGUUAGGACUGGCUUCUUCCUACGUGAUGCUAUGCAGCUAGGAUGGGUCACCCUGACAACAAAGGAGGACGCAGAAAGCAUCACUUUAUCUUCUCUUGUGAUGUUAGCUGAACAUAGCUCUUCGCAGUGAUGCCCUCCUGUGUAUGUGUGCAUGUGUGUGUGUGCGUGUGUGUGUGUGUGUGUAUUUCAAUUCAUCUAAUCGAAGAACCUCACAGAUAUCACCAUGGAUGUGGUUUUUAAUGAUUUGGAAAGAAAGACAGCCUGUGGAGACAGCGAUUUGAGACAGCACAUUUAGGUUAUUGCCAAUUUGAAAUACUCCGUUUGCAAAGCCGAGCCCUAAGGGGCAAACUUGGUAACUGAGAAAGAGAUCGUAGAUAAAGAAAUAAAAAUGACAAGCGUAAUGGAGGCUCUGCGAAGGGACUGUCAGAGCAUCAGUUCAUGGAUGGCAAUUUCGCCAGGCUGAGACUGAAUAAUUCAUAGAUUGAAAGUACCCUGCUUUCACCUUUCCAUUUAAACCGGCAUGAUCUGAAUCUCUAAUAAAUUUUCAAGAUAAAGUAAAAUGCCAAUUUGAAUCUGAAGAGCUUUUCAAAGCAGAUGCUGUAUCCCUGAAUCUUUCCGUAUCUUCCACAAUUAUCCUAUGAGAGAGAAUUGCACUUCAUCACGAAGCACCAUUACCAGGGAAAAUUACUGUGAUUACAAUAGCAACAAUAGGACAGCAUCAAAUGAUCUCCAAUUUACCUAAUUUGCUAAGACUGACUGUGGUUUUAAUGCUCAUUGCAUGUCACCAUGACCGGCAACCAUGGAUCUGUCUCGAGCUGGAAAAAAAAGUAGGGUAAUGUGUGUACCUUACCUCCAAAAACCUAGCAAAGAACAUCCUUUUAGGUUACAAUAUCUCUUUCAUUUGGUUUACUUGUUUUGCUUUCUUUCUAAUACCUCUACCCCAAAUGCCUGCUUGGGGAAAUGGUGAGCCUGUUAUGCAUUGUAAGUUUAUUCUUUGCUACAGGAGAGGACUGAAUUGCUAAUUUAUACACCCUCUUUAUUUUAAUAUAUACAAGCAUGUGUUUACCAGAGGGAGGAAAGAUUCUGUCCUGGGAGGAUAGUUUUAAAAUGCAGAUAAAAUCCAAGUGUGCAUGUUUGCUUCUUCUUUGAAAGCCUUGUGCGUUUACAGGUUAGAAAUCCUUCCAGGGAGCUGUAAUCCUGGGGUGGUGUGUUAAAAACCUUUCAGACUGAACAGCAGCUCAGGUGGCAGAGCCGAUAAUAACCCGGCACAGCCCAUACUGAAAGCGUGUGUGGGAGAGACUUCAGUUGUUCUUUUCUGCUCACUGUGGAGAAGUCUGCUUUGGAGAACUUUUUAUCUGACAGACUGCUCUGCUCAUUUGGAGGCACAGUGACUUCAGGAAUUUGCAUUGCACGAAGAUGGUGGUCUAAAAAUAUCCCUGGCUUCCAGCUCAGGGUGGAGCCCAAUGAACCAUUAAGCUCCUCCAGGUAAGUGUUCCAGAUUUCCCUUAAGUGUCUGUUCCCCAGGAGAGGAGUCUUUCAGAAUGUACUAUCACAAAAUCAAAUUAUGGAAUAUAUGUAAACACAACUAAAAUUUAAUUUUAAUAAAGGGGGAGGCAGAGGGCCUUUCUCUGAAGGAGUAUAAUGGAAGAUUAAUUUUCUUCAGCAUCAUUUCCUAAUCUUUUCUUCCCAGGAAACAUAGCAGAUGAAUGAGGUUAGACUAGGAGAAUAUGGCCCUUAGACCAAGUAGAGGGGCCUCUGGCUGGGCCCUAUACUUCCCUGAACCCCAAGGACCUGCACAGUUUCUUCCCUGGCACCAUCCUCCCAAGGAUGAGCUAUGCUGCCCAUGCAUGCACUCCUAGACCUGAGAGGUUUCUGGGAGAGAUCCCAGGAGGGCUGGAGUGUCCUGGAUAUAGGUACGUUCUAACAAAGUGAGAAUAAGUCUAUUUAGCUCUCUUUCUACCAGCAUGUCAAAAAGGUAAACUGGUCUUGACCUAGCCAGAAAGCCAGCAGUCUGCUGAAUUAGACAAGCAAUCAUUAGGAUUACCAUAUUGAAGAAUGAAAGUGAAAAUAAGUCUAUUUAUUUCAUCUCUAUAAAAAAAUAACAGAUAAAUAACUUAAAGGAGGAAAGAUUUAUUUUGGUGCAUGGCGUCAGUCCAUGGUUGUUUGGCCCCAUCACUGUGGGUCUCCAGUAAGGAUACACAUCGUGGCUGGGAAGAUGUGACAGAGCAAACCUGCUCACCUCAUGGUGGCCAGGAAGCAGAGAGAGAGAAAGAGAAAAAAGGGCCAGGGACAAGAUAUAUCCUUCUAGGGUAUGCCCCUUUUCCUUCCAACUAGGCCCCAUCUCCUAACAGGUCAUUCAGUUAUGAAUUCAGGAAUGGAUUAACCCAUUAAUGAGGCUAGUAGCCAUGCUCUAAUCACCCUCUACAAGCUCACCUCUGAACACAUGAGCUUUUGGGGGCUUAUUUUUGAUCCAAACCAUGGUAACAACACAGGAGCCAUUUUUUUUAUGACUGCCGAAGACACAAUCUCUUCUCCCAUACGGAAUUCCGUAUUCAGUACUGAAGAGCUGGAUUUGGAAGAGGGAAGUCGAAGAC
ensembl:lncRNA